rnacentral:rRNA from 1 species
AGUUUGAUCCUGGCUCAGGAUGAACGCUAGCUACAGGCUUAACACAUGCAAGUCGAGGGGAAACGACAUUGAAAGCUUGCUUUCGAUGGGCGUCGACCGGCGCACGGGUGAGUAACGCGUAUCCAACCUGCCCAUCACUUGGGGAUAACCUUGCGAAAGUAAGACUAAUACCCAAUGACGUCUCUAGAAGACAUCUGAAAGAGAUUAAAGAUUUAUCGGUGAUGGAUGGGGAUGCGUCUGAUUAGCUUGUUGGCGGGGUAACGGCCCACCAAGGCGACGAUCAGUAGGGGUUCUGAGAGGAAGGUCCCCCACAUUGGAACUGAGACACGGUCCAAACUCCUACGGGAGGCAGCAGUGAGGAAUAUUGGUCAAUGGACGAGAGUCUGAACCAGCCAAGUAGCGUGCAGGAUGACGGCCCUAUGGGUUGUAAACUGCUUUUAUAAGGGAAUAAAGUGAGCCUCGUGAGGCUUUUUGCAUGUACCUUAUGAAUAAGGACCGGCUAAUUCCGUGCCAGCAGCCGCGGUAAUACGGAAGGUCCGGGCGUUAUCCGGAUUUAUUGGGUUUAAAGGGAGAGUAGGCCGGAGAUUAAGCGUGUUGUGAAAUGUAGAUGCUCAACAUCUGCACUGCAGCGCGAACUGGUUUCCUUGAGUACGCACAAAGUGGGCGGAAUUCGUGGUGUAGCGGUGAAAUGCUUAGAUAUCACGAAGAACUCCGAUUGCGAAGGCAGCUCACUGGAGCGCAACUGACGCUGAAGCUCGAAAGUGCGGGUAUCGAACAGGAUUAGAUACCCUGGUAGUCCGCACGGUAAACGAUGGAUGCCCGCUGUUGGUCUGAAUAGGUCAGCGGCCAAGCGAAAGCAUUAAGCAUCCCACCUGGGGAGUACGCCGGCAACGGUGAAACUCAAAUGAAUUGACG